rnacentral:rRNA from 1 species
UAGUAAUCGCGGAUCAGCAUGCCGCGGUGAAUACGUUCCCGGGCCUUGUACACACCGCCCGUCACACCAUGGGAGUCGGUAACACCCGAAGCCGAUAGUCUAAUGAAAGAGGACGUCGUCGAAGGUGGGAUUGAUGACUGGGGUGAAGUCGUAACAAGGUAUC